UCAAUGCAAGCUGUGUGGAAUCAAAGACCCGUAUUGAUGAGGCCAGUGUCAGUGAAGAUGGUGUGGUCACUGGAAUCCUGGUGUUUGUGGGAAAUGUGAAGGAGCUUCUCCCAGGAUUCUACUACAGUGUUGUCCUGAUGACUGAGGUAUUUUUUUUUUUUUACUUUCCUGCCUCUUUGGAACAUGUCCAUUUACGCAUACUGUGUAGAGAUGGUGCGCAGCUUCAUGGACAUUUGAGGUUUUCUGCCGAUGGAGAGCUUCUGGGACAUUGACAUAAACAGCACUUUUUCCUACAACUUCAAAAAAGUUGGUGAUAGACAAUUUUGGUUUCUUGUUUUUGUGCCUUUGGAAU